rnacentral:rRNA from 1 species
AGUGAACGCUGGCGGUAGGCCUAACACAUGCAAGUCGAACGGCAGCACAGUAAGAGCUUGCUCUUACGGGUGGCGAGUGGCGGACGGGUGAGGAAUACAUCGGAAUCUACUUUUUCGUGGGGGAUAACGUAGGGAAACUUACGCUAAUACCGCAUACGACCUACGGGUGAAAGCAGGGGAUCUUCGGACCUUGCGCGAUUGAAUGAGCCGAUGUCGGAUUAGCUAGUUGGCGGGGUAAAGGCCCACCAAGGCGACGAUCCGUAGCUGGUCUGAGAGGAUGAUCGGCCACACUGGAAGUGGGACACGGUCCAGACUCCUACGGGAGGCAGCAGUGGGGAAUAUUGGACAAUGGGCGCAAGCCUGAUCCAGCCAUACCGCGUGGGUGAAGAAGGCCUUCGGGUUGUAAAGCCCUUUUGUUGGGAAAGAAAAGCAGCAGGUUAAUACCCCGCUGUUCUGACGGUACCCAAAGAAUAAGCACCGGCUAACUUCGUG